AUGAUGCGUCAUUCCAAGGAAAACAGCCGGAACUGGCAGGCCAGGUCAUGUGGUGAGAUGAGUAAUUCCAGCUCCCUUACUGGACCUGAUUUAUACAGCUCAGGUCCAAUAGUUCUGAGAAAUUGUUGAUGGUGGGAGCCUUUCUGUUUGUUUGUUUCUCUGGAAACUUGAAGCCUUUCAAAUAAAGAACAAAUGAGGUGUAGGGAAUUUUUAGCUGGGGUAUGUGCUUCAGGAUGUUUGCUGCAUUCAGGCUUCAAGAACACAAAUUCUCUGCAGACAAUCCCACACACAGUGGGGGAAAAAAAGGAUAUUGGGCUUGGAAGUGCACCAGGGAGAUGGGACUCAAGUGAGCUUUGAACAGCAAUCAUUGUCAUUAGUGGUGGUGCUGUAAUAUGUGCUUGACUCAAAUCCAGCAUUGCACAGGCAAGAACCUGGUGAAAGCUUUGUAAUUUGAUAUUUGUGGUUGUGAUCCGCUGUUGAAUAGGCUAGACAUGACUAAAAUCAGUAUUUUUUAAAGUGUUGUGUGGGGUUUUUUAUGUCAAAAAAGGCUGGUUGCCCUCUUGGACUUUAUUGUGUUCAUGUGAAAUGUUUGAUGUGGACUUAAUACGGGUCUGCAGAUUUUUUAGGACAGUCCACGUCCCCUUGCAGAAUUUCACCUUCCUCAGAGGUGGGUGCUGCAGUGCUGCACUGAAUUUCUGCCACAGGGAAAGAUGUGAAGGUAAUUUGUCAUGUUACCCUGCUGGUCCUGCAGGGGUGGUCCCUCUGUGCUGUGACAGCUCCACAGCCUGCCAUCAGGUUGGCGUGAUCUCCUGGCUGGACAUCGGUGCCGGUGAGGGAUGUGUCUGACUCCAUUCCGGCCCUUGCUCGAGGAAAGGUGUGGGUGAAGGUGCUUUUGCAUCUCCCACAUUCUGUGUCUGGUUGGACACCAAGACUAAAGACUGCCAAUUUGGGCACUGCCCAGAGUGUUACCACCAUCCAUGAGACCUGUCCUGCUCCAUCAUGGGCACUGCAUGUGGGAAUGCUCAAUGGCAAUCUCCAAAUUACUCCUCACUCAGCUUUUUCUUGCUUCUGGACUCGGGAGCCACAAAGCCCAGAUGAUUCUUCACUCCCCUCUGGAGGGAAGUUGCUGUCCCAAAGCUAUUGUAAAUGCAGGUGAACCCGGUGGGAAGAAAUGGUGAUGUCUGACUCCAGUUCAGAAGGCUGAAUGAUUUCUUUAUUAUAACUAUACUAUAAUGCAUUCAUAUACUAUUUCAAGGAGAUACUAAAACUACAAACCUACCAAAUCUCACUGACUCACAACUCGUGACCCUCUGAGAGCCCAGCCCCAGGAGGGUUGGAUUGGCCAUCAGACUCAAGCAAUCCUCACCAGAAUCCAACCAAGCACUCACCCCAGGUAAGUAAUUCUCCAAACACAUUCCACAUAGGGAAAAGAAGGAGCAGAAAUAGAAAUUGUUUUCUUUUUCUUUCUUCUGUGUUCUUCUUUGUUCUGUGUUCUUCUAUGAAAAAAUCCUGAGACAGCAGUGAAUGUGCCUACCACACAAACCCCACCGCACUAAAGUGAGUGGCACAAAUGCCACCGAGGGAGCUGUGUUUUGGAUCCCAUCAGUACAGACCCCCCCACUUGCCAGCCUGCACCAGCAGUGCUCCAAACCUGCAGCAAUGUGUGUAGAAUUGAGAUUGCUCACAACUACAGGUAGAUGUCUAAUGUCCAGGCAAUAUCACAUAAAUCAUCUCUUCACCCCAAAAAAUUAAUCAGAUUUGGGUUACGAUGAUGCAAACCCCUUUAUCUCCCUAUCACCACCACCUCUCCCCCUUUAGUAUUUAUUAAAGAAAAGUCAAAAUACUUCUAAUAAUUUUUUUUUUUUUUUUUUUUUUCCCUAUGAAAAUGUCUUUUUUAUCUAGCAGGUAGCAAAGAUCUGAAGGGAAGAGUGGUCAUCUCAGGCUGCUGGGGGUGGUCACUCAUCAGAACUGUAAAUGGGUGAAGGGGAUGGAGACAAAGGCAAUUCUGGUCAGGCUGCAAGCACAGCCCUGACUUCCACUCUUGUAAAUAGUCAUUUCACGGCUUCCUUCUGAAAUUUGGGAUUUAGGGAGUUCCAGCAAAAGGUGAGGCCGCUCCAGGGCUGUGUCUGUGAGCCCCAGGAAUCUGUUCUACAUUUUUUCAGUCCCUUGCGUGGUGUUAAAUUUUGUGACACCUUCUUCAGUCUGACUUACCGCAGAUAAGACAGAGAGGAUUUUUUUAAACCAAUGAGGAUUAGGGUAAGUUUGGAAUAAGGUUUUUAGAGGGUGGAUUAUGAAGGCACGAGCUGUGCAAGGCUGACCAUUUGAGCUUCAUCUGCCAUAAGGGCCCACAGAGUAUUAAACUUCAUUCAUGGCAAUUCAGGUAUAAAGGAAAUGUCAGGAAGAAGGAGGAGCAGGGAGGAGUAUAAAUGUAUUCAUUCUGAGUACAGCAUUUGUAUUUGCUGUUGUAAUUGGUCUGUUAAAAUGAUUUCCUAGAAGUGAAUUAGCGAUCCCAGUAGAGAAUACAAUUUGGAGAGCCAUUAAAUUAGAAGAAACUAAAUCGAAGGCAGAGUAGCAUCUCUUCUAUGCUGUGGCAGAAACUGUGUUGCAGACAGAUUGACUGCUGACAGAUCGUCAGAACUGAGUGGUUGGUAUUCACUCAUGACUUCCAAGGGGAAUUGUGGAAUUACCUACAGCACUUCAUUCACUUAAUGAAUUGUUGCCUCCAUUGUUGCCUGAAGCCUGCAGAGUAACAAAGGCGCUGGCUUUCUUUGAAACGGUUUCCAUAGGUGUCUCUAAGGUACCGCAGCCUGGUAAAUGUAACUUCUGUAGGAGGAGAAUUACUUGUAUAACAAGGAAUUGAAUCAGUGAAUGCCUGAUAAAUACAAAAAAUGUCCUUCAUAAAAGUCACCAUCAUUUCUGUUAUGGGAGGUUUUGCUUCGGGACACUGAUUUCUUUGGAGAGAUAAACAAGCACAGUGGUAAUGGUGAGACUUCUUGGUUAGGUCAGAAGGUUUUAGAGGGAAAUGUCCACUCACGUGAUCAAAA